GAAGUGGUCUCAUCAAACCUAAUUGGCAUGAAAUUAAACUUGUCCCUUUCACCAAAAACUUUUUUCAACCAUUAGAAAGUUAUUUAGAACGGUCUCAUGACGAAAUUAAAUUGUACAGAAGAACUAAUGAAAUCACCGUUAGCCACGAAGACGCCCCUGGUCCUCUAAUCAGCUUCACUGAAGCAAAAUUCCCCAAACAUGUCUUAAGACAACUUGAGCAAAAUGACAUUGUGUCACCAACGCCAAUUCAAGCUCAAGGCUGGCCAAUAGCAUUAAGAGGAGAUAAUUUAGUCGGCAUCGCACAGACUGGAUCAGG